GGAGGGUGCAAGCGUUAUCCGGAUUCACUGGGUUUAAAGGGUGCGUAGGUGGGUUGGUAAGUCCGUGGUGAAAUCUCCGAGCUUAACUCGGAAACUGCCGUGGAUACUAUCAAUCUUGAAUAUCGUGGAGGUAAGCGGAAUAUGUCAUGUAGCGGUGAAAUGCUUAGAUAUGACAUAGAACACCGAUAGCGGAGGCAGCUUGCUACACGAUCAUUGACACUGAGGCACGAAAGCGUGGGGAGCAAACAGGAUUAGAUACCCUGGUAGUCCACGCCCUAAACGAUGAUUACUCGACAUACGCGAUACACUGUGUGUGUCUGAGCGAAAGCAUUAAGUAAUCCACCUGGGAAGUACGAUCGCAAGAUUGAA
rnacentral:rRNA from 1 species